rnacentral:rRNA from 1 species
CCUACGUGAGGCAGCAGUGGGGAAUAUUGCUCAAUGGGCGAAAGCCUGACGCAGCGACGCCGCGUGAGGGAUGAAGGUCUUCUGAUCGUAAACCUCUGUCAGCAGGGAAGAACGGUCACUUUGCUAAUCACCAGUGAAUUGACGGUACCUGCAAAGGAAGCACUGGCUCACUACGUGCCAGCAGCCGCGGUAAUACGGAGGGUGCGAGCGUUAAUCGGAAUUACUGGGCGUAAAGCGCUCGUAGGCGGUAUGUCAAGUCAAGGGUGAAAUCCCCGCGCUCACCGUGGGAACUGCCGUUGAAACUGGCAAACUGGAGUGUGUGAGAGGAUAGUGGAAUUCCAGGUGUAGGAGUGAAAUCCGUAGAUAUCUGGAGGAACAUCAGUGGCGAAGGCGACUAUCUGGAGCAUAACUGACGCUGAGGAGCGAAAGCGUGGGUAGCAAACAGGAUUAGAUACCCGGGUAGUC